rnacentral:lncRNA from 1 species
GCCCACCUCAUGGCGUGUGAGGCACCGUGGCAAAGCACGGUGGCCAGGGCUUGCUCCCCGAACAUCUCAGUCCUCGGGUUGUCUUCAGCAGUGGAGAGGAGGGGAGUUAUUCCCUGUGUCCAGGCGGAGAGUUGGUUUGGCUCAGAGAGGGACGGAGCACAGCUGCCUGUGAUAUCUAUUAUCUCCGAGGGAACGAACUGCACCUGAAGGCUGCAGGUGGUGCCCUAACGAGGUAAAGGAUGUAAGCUGGGGAGAAAAAGGAAUUCAUGGAAUCACGGAAUUGUUGGAGUUGGAAGGGACCUUCUAGAGAUCAUCUAGUCCAACUCCCCUGCCAAAGCAGGGUUGCCCAGAGCACAUCACUCAGGAUGGCAUCCAGGUGGGGCUUGAAGAUCUCCAGAGAAGGGGACUCCACACCCUCCCUGGGCAGCCUCUUCCAGGGCUCUGCCACCCUCACCCCAAAGAAGUUCUUCCUCAUAUUUGGGUGGAACUUCCCAUGUUCCAGCUUGUGCCCAUUGCCCCUCAUCCUGUCACUGGGAACCACUGAAAAGAGUCCAGCUCCAUCCUCCUUCAACCCACCCUUUAGAUACUUGUCAGCAUUCGUAAGGUCUCCCCUCAGCCUUCUCUUCUCCAGGCUGAAGAGCCCCAGCUCUCUCAGCCUUUCCUCAUCAGGGAGAUGCUCCAAUCCCUCCAUCAUCUUAGUUGCCCUACGCUGGACUCUCUCCAGCAAUUCCCUGUCUCUCUUCAACUGGGGAGCCCAGCACUGGACACAGGAUUCCAGUUGUGGCCUCACCAGUGCGGAGCAGAGGGGCAGAAUGAUCUCCCCUCCACCUACUGGCCACACUCUUCCCUACGCAGCCCAGGAUCCCAACGGCUCUCCUGGCCACAAGGGCCCAUUGCUGGCUCAUGGACAGUUUACUACCCACCAGGACCCCCAGAUCCUUCUCCUCAGAAGUGCUUUCCAGUGGGUCCAUCCCUGAGCACUUCGGCAGCGGCCGUUUGGUGCCUUAGCCUCAGGGAUGCCAGAGGCAGGCGACUAAAGUCAAAGUUAGGCAAGGUGGCAGCUGAAG